rnacentral:lncRNA from 1 species
CCGGCGAGUCGGAGCCCCAGACCCGCUCGCCCGACUGCACCCACGACAACCCGCUGGAGACCCGCAACAUCACCUUCUUCUCCACCAACUGCGUCGAGGGUGAGCCGGCGGCCCGGGGGGGUCCCCGCGGUGGGCUCAGGCCCCUUUGGGGGUCCCUGCUUGGUUUUGGGGUCCCUGGGGCUGGGCUGGGGUGGUUUUGGGGUCCCUGCACAGGUUUUGGGGACCCCAGAGGAGGUUUUAGGGCUGUUUUGGGCUCCCUGGGGCUGUUCUGGGGUGCAGAGGUCCCUGGGCUGCUUUGGGGGUCCCAAAGUUGGGCUUUGGGGUCCCAGGGCUGGUGGGUGCCACUUUGGGGUCCUGGGGCUGCUUUGGGGUCCCGGGGCCAGCUGUGGGGCUGCAUUGGGGUCCCAGGGAUACUUUGGGGUCCAAGGGCUGGUGGGUGACUCUUUGGGGUCCUGUUGCCACUUUGGGGUCCUGGAGUUGGCUGUGGAGCUGCUUUGGGGUCCUGGGGCUGGUUAUGGGGCUGCAUUGGGGUCCUGUCACCGCUUUGGGGUCCCGGGGCUGUGUUGGGGUCCUGGGCCCAGCUGUGGGGCUGCACUGGGGUCCCGUUGCCACUUUGGGGUCCCGGGGCUGGCUGUGGGGCUGCAUUGGGGUCCUGUCACCACUUUGGGGUCCCAGGGCCGUGUUGGGGUCCCAGGGCUGGUUAUGGGGCUGCAUUGGGGUCCUGUCACCACUUUGGGGUCCCAGGGCUGCGUUGGGGCCCCAGGACCUCACGUGAGCCCCCUGCGGGCCCCCAGGCACGGCGCGGGGGGUGGUGAUCGCCACGGGGGACCGGACGGUGAUGGGGCGCAUCGCCACGCUGGCCUCGGGGCUGGAGGUGGGCAAGACGCCCAUCGCCGUGGAGAUCGAGCACUUCAUCCAGCUCAUCACCGGCGUCGCCGUCUUCCUCGGCAUCUCCUUCUUCAUCCUCUCCCUCAUCCUCGGCUACACCUGGCUCGAGGCCGUCAUCUUCCUCNNNNNNNNNNNNNN